rnacentral:rRNA from 1 species
AUUGAACGCUGGCGGCAGGCCUAACACAUGCAAGUCGAACGAGUGGCGGACGGGUGAGUAAUGUCUGGGAAACUGCCUGAUGGAGUGGGAUAACUACUGGAAACGGUAGCUAAUACCGCAUACCAUCGGAUGUGCCCAGAUGGGAUUAGCUAGUAGGUGGGGUAACGGCUCACCUAGGCGACGAUCCCGAGCUGGUCUGAGAGGAUGACCAGCCACACUGGAACUGAGACACGGUCCAGACUCCGACGUGAGGCAGCAGUGGGGAAUAUUGCACAAUGGGCGAAAGCCUGAUCCAGCCAUCCCGCGUGUGUGAAGAAGGCCUUCGGGUUGUAAAUGACUUUCAGCAGGGAGGCGUUACCCGCAGAAGAAGCACCGGCUAACUCCGUGCCAGCAGCCGCGGUAAUUC